UUCACAGUAAUGAAAUUCAACUGUGAUGCAACACUAAUCUCAAAGGAAUCAGAUAUUUGUUCAAAAUUACACAACAUGCAAGACAACCACAUAGAGGAUUUGUCUUCUGGAGAUGAGGUCACUACACCCAUAAAGGAAAAAUCCAAGGGUGACGGUGAAAUUGAUGCUGAUGAAGUUGAACCACUCAAGCGCUCAG